GACCUGCGGAAGGAUCAUUAACGAAUCUAUUCUUUCUACACACUUGUGAACUUAUGAAAUGAUUACUUGGUUGGAGGUUUUCCUUCAGCCAGGCGUUUUAAUUAAACACUUUAUUUGUAACAUCUAUAAAUUAUAAACUCUGAAACAGAAAGAUAAUAAUCUUUUAAAACUUUUAACAACGGAUCUCUUGGUUCUCGCAUCGAUGAAGAACGCAGCGAAAUGCGAUAAGUAAUGUGAAUUGCAGAUUUUCGUGAAUCAUUGAAUCUUUGAACGCACAUUGCGCCUUCUAGUAUUCUGGGAGGCAUGCCUGUUUGAGCGUCAUUUCCUUCUCCAAAAGAAAAUUUAUUUUGUUUUGGGAGUUGAGCCUAUGUAUUUUUAUUAAUACUGGCAUGAAAUGUAUGGGCAACAGACAUCUAGCAACUUGAAGCUAGUGAGUUAUUUUACGUAUUAGGUCUAACCAACUCGUAAAACAUGUCAUUAGUUUCUAUAAGAUGAUAGAUUGUCUUGCUUGACAAAGAUCUCAAAUCUUUGACCUCAAAUCAGGUAGGAAUACCCGCUGAACUUAAGCAUAUCA
rnacentral:sRNA from 1 species